AAAGUCCCCUUCGGGGGACAAGUAGAGUGGCGCACGGGUGAGUAACACGUAGGUAAUCUACCUUUGGAUGGGGAAUAACCACCGGAAACGGUGGCUAAUACCGCAUAAUGCAGCGGCACCUAAUGGUGACAGUUGUUAAAGCGGGGGAUCGCAAGACCUCGCGUCUAAAGAGGAGCCUGCGGCAGAUUAGCUAGUUGGUAGGGUAAUGGCUUACCAAGGCUAUGAUCUGUAGCCGGCCUGAGAGGGCGGUCGGCCACACUGACACUGACAUACGGGUCAGACUCCUACGGGAGGCAGCAGUCGGGAAUUUUGGGCAAUGGGCGAAAGCCUGACCCAGCAACGCCGCGUGAAGGAUGAAAUCCCUCGGGAUGUAAACUUCGCAAGAACGGGAAGAAUAAGUAAGAGCUAACAUCUCUUACGAUGACGGUACUGUUUGUAAGCUCCGGCUAACUCCGUGCCAGCAGCCGCGGUAAUACGGGGGGAGCAAGCGUUGUUCGGAUUUACUGGGCGUAAAGGGCGCGUAGGCGGCCACCGCAAGUCAGUUGUGAAAUCUCUGGGCUUAACCCAGAAAGGUCAACUGAUACUGCGGGGCUAGAGUGCAGAAGGGGCAACUGGAAUUCUCGGUGUAGCGGUGAAAUGCGUAGAUAUCGAGAGGAACACCUGCGGCGAAGGCGGGUUGCUGGGCUGACACUGACGCUGAUGCGCGAAAGCUAGGGGAGCGAACGGGAUUAGAUACCCCGGUAGUCCUAGCCUUAAACGAUGAAUGCUUGGUGUCUGGGGUUUUAUAGUCCCCGGGUGCCGUCGCUAACGCUUUAAGCAUU
rnacentral:rRNA from 1 species